GAUGAACGCUGGCGGCGUGCUUAACACAUGCAAGUCGAACGAACGACUAUUAACAGAACCUUUCGGGGCGAAGAAUAUAGAAGUUAGUGGCGGACGGGUGCGUAACGCGUGGGUAAUCUGCCUUUGUCAAAGGAAUAACUAUUCGAAAGAAUAGCUAAAACCGUAUAACAUAUUAAUAGGGCAUCCUAAUAAUAUCAAAACGAUAGUGGACAAAGAUGAGCCCGCGUCUGAUUAGCUAGUUGGUGAGAUAAAAGCCCACCAAGGCAACGAUCAGUAGCCGACCUGAGAGGGUGAACGGCCACAUUGGAACUGAGACACGGUCCAAACUCCUACGGGAGGCAGCAGUGGGGAAUAUUGCACAAUGGGGGGAACCCUGGUGCAGCAACGCCGCGUGAGUGAAGAAGGCAUUCGUGUCGUAAAACUCUGUAGUAGGGGAAGAAAGAAAUGACAGUACCCUAAAAGAAAGCCCCGGCUAACUACGUGCCAGCAGCCGCGGUAAUACGUAGGGGGCAAGCGUUAUCCGGAAUAACUGGGCGUAAAGGGUGCGCAGGUGGUUUAACAAGUUAGUGGUGAAAGGCAUAGGCUCAACCAAUGUAAGCCAUUAAAACUGUUUAACUUGAGUGCAGGAGAGGAAAGUGGAAUUCCUAGUGUAGCGGUGAAAUGCGUAGAUAUUAGGAGGAAUACCAGUGGCGAAGGCGACUUUCUGGACUGCAACUGACACUGAGGCACGAAAGCGUGGGGAGCAAACAGGAUUAGAUACCCUGGUAGUCCACGCCGUAAACGAUGAGUACUAGGUGUCGGGUGAAGAACUCGGUGCCGAAGUUAACACAUUAAGUACUCCGCCUGGGGAGUACGCUCGCAAGAGUAAAACUCAAAGGAAUUGACGGGGACCCGCACAAGCAGCGGAGCAUGUGGUUUAAUUCGAAGCAACGCGAAGAACCUUACCUAAACUUGACAUACCAAUGACAGCCUUUUAAUCGAGGACUUUUACCUUCGGGUAGACAAUGGAUACAGGUGGUGCAUGGUUGUCGUCAGCUCGUGUCGUGAGAUGUUGGGGUUAAGUCCGCAACGAGCGCCACCCCUGUUCGAUAGUUACAGCAGUAAGAUGGGGACUCUAUCGAGACAGCUAGGACACUUAGAGGAGGGUGGGAUACGU
rnacentral:rRNA from 1 species